rnacentral:lncRNA from 1 species
AUCCAAACAUUAUUGCACCAUGACCUACCGUCCCUAGAGCAAAUGGCAAAAGGUUGGUGGUUGGUACCCGAGACCCAAGUUCGAAUCCUAGUUGAUUCACACUUCCAGCUAAGUUUAUUUUUAAAUAAAAUAAACGAAGCGGGUAGCGUGCUAUCUAUCUCUAAAAAAAAAAACAUUAUUGCACCAUGCCGUUUUCAAAGGUUAAACAUGACAUUUUCUGAAAGGUUGGAUACGGUUAUUUUAAUGUGCUGAUAUUUUGCUGAUACAGAUCGGGUGUAGGAUUGGUUGUGAAUGAGAAUUUCAUCUUGCUUGAGUUUGGUUGAAAAGAUGUACAAAUCUUUCAGCUAAGUUCGAAUCCUAGUUGAUUCACAUUUUCAGUUAAGUUUAUUUCUAAAUGUAAUAAAUGAAGCAAGUAGCAUGCUACCUUUCUCUCAAAAAAAAAAAAAGUACAAAUCAUAUUUAUUAAUUAUUAAAUUGCCUAUUCUUGGUUAUUAUCUCCAUGGUGUAAGCCUAACUAUCAUGGUCCCAUAACACUCCUAGGGGACACGUACAGUCACACAGAUGAGAUGGAUUGAACAUUUACUUUAUUAGUGGUGAUUGAAACAUAAAUAUAUGACAAAAACACACGUAUCUUUGAUUGACGAAAUCUUCAGUGCUCUAUUUUAUUUUAUAUUUGAAGAAUC